rnacentral:rRNA from 1 species
GAGUUUGAUCCUGGCUCAGAACGAACGCUGGCGGCAGGCUUAACACAUGCAAGUCGAACGCACCCUUCGGGGUGAGUGGCAGACGGGUGAGUAACGCGUGGGAAUCUACCCAACCCUACGGAACAACUCCGGGAAACUGGAGCUAAUACCGUAUACGCCCUUUUGGGGAAAGAUUUAUCGGGGAUGGAUGAGCCCGCGUUGGAUUAGCUAGUUGGUGGGGUAAAGGCCUACCAAGGCGACGAUCCAUAGCUGGUCUGAGAGGAUGAUCAGCCACAUUGGGACUGAGACACGGCCCAAACUCCUACGGGAGGCAGCAGUGGGGAAUAUUGGACAAUGGGCGCAAGCCUGAUCCAGCCAUGCCGCGUGAGUGAUGAAGGCCCUAGGGUUGUAAAGCUCUUUCAACGGUGAAGAUAAUGACGGUAGCCGAGAAGAA